AACGAAAAACGAAAAAAAAACUACGUAGCACACGUACUGUAGCAGACUUCUCUGUAAAAGUUAAAACAUGCUUUUAGAAGUUCUAUCAAUCCCGCGAGGAGCAGCCAUCACUUAAACCUUAAACCACAAAAAUCCAAAUUCCUCCAACUUCAUAAACCGCUUCUUUUUGCAUAUCACAAUUCUACAUAAUUUACUCAAUCCAAUUCGCAAUUGAGAAAUCGGAAUUUAAAAAUUUCCUUAACCACCAUUCACAAUCACCAGCGACCGUGGUUACUCGCGACCGCUUUCUUGAUUCGUAAUCACCAGCGACUAAGCUUGCUAGAUGUCGUUCUUCUGCUUUCUUCGUCACUGGCGGGAGCUAACAUCCACCGGGGAGCAGUCAUCGUGCCUCCCUCUCUUAGAGUUGGUUAUUUUCUCUUCUUUAAUAUACUAUGCAUUGUAGUCCCAACCAAAAUUGAAUUGUCGAAAGGAGUAGGUUUUUUUUUUCGUGUGGCUAAUUAGUUUCGUUUUGGUGUAAUUGAUUUAAUAUUUUCUCAUGAUGAAUUUUAAUUUUCCUAUUGUUUUCUUCAUGCUCUCUUUUGCAAUUAUGAGAGCUAAUUAGCUCAAUAUUGUUCAUGCAAUAGGAAUUGCUCUAAAAAGUCAUAAAUUUAGUGAAGUUAAAAGCAUUGGAAAAUUGUUCUAUGAUGGUGAGUGAAUCGAAUUCCUGGAAACAAUUUAGUGAGAGAGAAGAUUGGACGAUCGCUGUUCUUUUUACCUUAAUAGCGCAGGACAGUAAUGAAAUAUAGCAAAUGAAAUAAUCUAGUUUACAUGUAAUAAAGAUUGGUUGACUAUAACUGGGAUCAUCUAAAAGAAGCAACCUCAAUGAUAUUCUCAAUGAUGUUGUGGCAUGGCUCGUUUUGGCCCAUAAUAGGGUGUCUGCUACUGCCCUAAAUUGUUUUCCUAAAAAUAAAUCUGUAAGUUGACUUUUUUGUUUGGGAAUAAUUCUCUACUUGUCUGUAUUCUGUAGUCACUCUUGCAUGUUGAUUAUGUGACUGUCAUACUCAAAGAAUGGUCUUUUUCCUUGUGAGAAACAGGAGCAUUUAACAUCUCAAUAGCUCUAUAAGAAAGGACAGGACCCUCCUUAAUUACAGGUAGAUCAAUCAUGGGAUAUAAGUGAGCUAUGUUACCCAUGAGAGAUUGAGAAAUGGACUAUGACAAUCAACCUAUUAGCGAGUAUAUAUUGCCCUUAGGUAUGAAAACCCUCUAACUCGACUCCCUCAUCUCUUUGAUACUGUUUAUGAUUUUAUUUUUUGCUGUUGGUAAUUAAAACAGAAACUUGGACUACCUUUACUACUUUCUUAGCAUCAUUAUAGCAGUUUGUGUACAGGUUACUUGCAUCAGGUUCAAUACAAUGAUAUACAGUUUGGGUAUAGUAUUGUACACUUUCUUAGAUAAGUUAUGAAGCUUUCUAGUUUGAUAAAAUAAGAUCAAUGAAUUAGAGUAAUGAAAUCUUAUAUAGGAUUCAGGAUCUUGGUUUUCCUUAAAUCUUUAGAGCAAUGUUCACUUAUCAAACACUAGCCUAAACCACCCAGACGAGUGUAACGGAGUUUAAGCCCAAACAGUAGAAGUAUAAGUGUAUAACGUAGUUCAAUCAUGCAACACAAUCAACCCACCAUUACCGCUUUAUGCUCCCAAAAGUCAUCUUCACUUUGUAAUCGUUUCAAUCUAAUUUAAUUUCUAAAUCAUCUUUCAACAGAGAGAAAAAGAAAAAACUUCUAAUUAAGAAUUGGAUUUUAUGAUCAAAGAAAAACUAAAACUGUGCAAGCAACUAAUAGUUUCAAGAAUCACAAGGUCUAUCUUUAUUUAACAUAGCCUGUUUUAAACACAUCAAUGAAAAUUUUGAGUUCUAUCAAUAUGACAGAGGCAAUGCUUUGCCCUAUCAAUGGAAGCAGCCUUGCUUACAGGAUACCUGGUUAGUGGAGGUUAGAAUUCAGUAGCAUUACAUCUUUUCCCAUACUCUUUGCUUGUAUCCAAGUUCUUGUUAGCGACCUAUAUUUUAUUCCUCUUAUGUAUCCUUGUGUGUUUGAAGAUUGAAUAUAUGCCAAGCGUUCCAUUAUCAUAGUGACCCUUGAUUCAACAUGUUCAAAAGUUGCGAAUGGCCAGUUAUCAAAAGAUUGAUCCACUCACGAAUUCGACAUGGAUGACCAAGCUAAAGUGUCUAGCUGUGGGUUAAGCAAAAUAAAAAGUCUUUGUUCUUCCAUCAUGAUUCGUAUGACAGCGAUCCAUCAAAUUUUGGGAAUUCAAACAGAGUGGCAAGUGCAACAAAUGAUAUAGGUUGGCAUCGCAACAGAUUCAACCUUUGGAUUGGACCAGCUUAGGUAACCUUUGUCCACGCUUCUUGUGCUUGAUUCAAGACAGCAUACACUCAUUAAUGUUCUGUUCCAAAACAUGAUUUACUCUCUCUAAGCUCAUAUUUACAGUGUGUGAUUAGUGGAUCCAAUCCUUCACACAAAGUUCUCACAUUUCGUGCACGUUGCUCGUACCAAGUAUGCAGGUUGCCAAGUUCAGCGCGUCUCUCACAGCAGGUCUUACCGGGUCAGGAUGAUGAUUGAUAAAAUGUGGCAACUUUACAAACGUACUUUCUUGGGAUUCCUAGACUUAUUCGCAAGAGGUGAUUGACGAGCUAAACCAAACACAAGACAAUGGAGAUUGAAGCCGAUGGUCACGUUUGAAUUGUACAUUUUAUUUAAUUAUUUUAGAAUUUUAGUUUUAGUCGAUAGCAUUAGAUUAUAGAAACUUUAUUUUUAAGACAUUGGAAGAAAUAUAUUUUUGAGUGAAAUUGGUUUUGUAUAUGAAUUAAAUGAUGCAAAGAUUUAUUUUGACAUGAUGAAUAAAGCAAAAAGGAACUUCUAUUUAAUAA